CCUACGGGAGGCAGCAGUGGGGAAUAUUGGGCAAUGGGCGCAAGCCUGACCCAGCAACGCCGCGUGAAGGAAGAAGGCUUUCGGGUUGUAAACUUCUUUUCUCAGGGACGAAGCAAGUGACGGUACCUGAGGAAUAAGCCACGGCUAACUACGUGCCAGCCGCCGCGGUAAUACGUAGGUGGCAAGCGUUAUCCGGAUUUACUGGGUGUAAAGGGCGUGUAGGCGGGAAAGCAAGUCAGAUGUGAAAACCAUGGGCUCAACCUGUGACCUGCAUUUGAAACUGUUUUUCUUGAGUACUGGAGAGGCAGACGGAAUUGCUAGUGUAGCGGUGAAAUGCGUAGAGAUUAGGAGGAACACCAGUGGCGAAGGCGGUCUGCUGGACAGCAACUGACGCUGAGGCGCGAAAGCGUGGGGAGCAAACAGGAUUAGAUACCCUUGUAGUC
rnacentral:rRNA from 1 species